CAACAUACUUCACAGCUUUUAUUCUCGAGAACCUCUCCAUUACAAUCCUGUGGAACAACUGAAGUAUAAUAUGGAAUAACAGGGCCCGGAGGAUUCUCAACAGUGGAGGCUGUGUAGCAAAUCAUGGGGAGGUUUUGCAGCUCCUUGGCUAAAGAUGAACUGGCCGGAAGGAUUUUUGUACUCCACUGUCUCCGCAAAGUGAUACCUCCCCCUGUUGUCUACUUGUGGAUUGAAAGUCUGAACCACUUGGUCAGGUGUCACCUAAGCUUUAUCUUCCACCAUAGGUACAGUAAAGAAAAACUCCCAAACAAAGAAUUCACGGGAUGAAGAUGUGGAAAUACAUGUUGCACAAUGACCAUGAAAAGCUUGUGAUAGAGAUGGUGGAUGGAGAAAAUGAGCAUAGGUCAACGCACAGAAAUGUACUCUAAAAAAUUAUUCCUUAUCAGUUUAAUUCAAACAAAUGGUUUAAGUUAUUUAAAUAUGUUUAAGUUGGCUCAGUAUUAAAUGAGGUCUAUUAAUGCCAAAGACAAUAGCUGCUUUGCCUUUUAUCAAACUGUAUUGUUUGAAGCAUAUUCAUUUUUUUUAGACCUACUUCAUUUUUCAUACUCCUCAUUUAAGUUAAAUUAAAUACUUCACAUAUAUUCUGAAGUCAUAAUAUGUACUUUAUAAGAUUACAGAAUUCAAUGAACUGAAUUAAUACUCAAGAUUACUUAAUCACAACCAUGUGAGUUGAAAAAUUGUCUUUCAUGCAUAUUUAUAUGGGCCUAAUUGCGGUUUGUAAAUUGUUUUUUAUUUUUUCAUGCACAUGUAAACACACUUAUAUGUUUGUAAAAUGUUGUAAAUAAAUGUUCUUCAUGCAUUUAAGUGAGAUGGUUACACAGAUUUGUAAAAAUGUAUUAUUUAUGUAUUAUAAACUAUAAUUAAAAUGCAAGAGA